AGCCUACGGGGGGCAGCAGUGGGGAAUAUUGGGCAAUGGGCGCAAGCCUUACCCAGCAAUACCGCGUGAGUGAAGAAGGUCUUCGGAUUGUAAAGCUCUUUGAUCAGGGACGAACAGAUGACGGUACCUGAAGAACAAGCCCCGGCUAACUACGUGCCAGCAGCCGCGGUAAAACGUAGGGGGCGAGCGUUGUCCGGAAUGACUGGGCGUAAAGGGUGCGUAGGCGGAAUGCCAAGUCAGCGGUAAAAUCGCGGGGCUCAACCUCGCUCCGCCGUUGAAACUGGCGUUCUUGAGUGGGCGAGAAG
rnacentral:rRNA from 1 species